rnacentral:rRNA from 1 species
AUGGAAAGCACAGGGGGAGCGAGACCAACGUCGACGGUGCAGGAGCUCGCCGGCGCCCACGGCAAGCCCGACGUGCCGGCCCGGUACGUCUCACGCAGUCACCACGAAAACGGCCAGCACCCCACCGCGGCGCCGGUCCCUGUCAUCGACAUCGGCCGCCUUUUCAAGCAGGAGGGCGCCGCCGCAGCUGACGGCGAAGAGGCGAAGCUCCGGCAGGCGCUCGAGUCGUGGGGCCUCUUCCUGGUGACUAACCACGGCGUCGACACCUCGGUGAUGGACGGCAUGAUGGUCGCGUCAAGGGAGUUCUUCCGGCAGCCACCCGAAGAGAAACAGAGAUACAUCAACCUUAUCGGGGGCGAGCGGUUCCAGCUCGAGGGGUACGGGACCGACCGGGUGAGCUCGGCGGAGCAGAUCCUCGACUGGUCCGACCGCCUCUACCUCAGGGUGGAGCCCGAAGACGAGCGCAGCCUCGCCCUCUGGCCAGCGCAUCCUCAAACCUUCAUGAAUCUUCUGCACGAGUUCACCACGAAAUGUAGGGUGGUGAAGGAUGGACUGGUCCAGGCAAUGGCGAGGCUGCUGGGGCUCGACGACGACUAUAUAAUGGACCAGUUUGGGGAGAAGGCUGACACUUACGCUAGAUUCAGCUACUACCCGGAGUGCCCGAGGCCGGAGCUUGUGUUCGGCCUGAAGCCCCACUCCGAUGGGAGCGUUCUUACCGUGCUCAUGGUCGAUGACACCAUUGGUGGGCUCCAGAUUUUGAGAGAUGGUGUCUGGUUCAUGUACCAAUUGUUCCUCACACCCUGCUGA